rnacentral:rRNA from 1 species
UACGUAGGUGGCAAGCGUUGUCCGGAAUUAUUGGGCGUAAAGCGCGCGCAGGCGGUUUCUUAAGUCUGAUGUGAAAGCCCCCGGCUCAACCGGGGAGGGUCAUUGGAAACUGGGAAACUUGAGUGCAGAAGAGGAAAGUGGAAUUCCAAGUGUAGCGGUGAAAUGCGUAGAGAUUUGGAGGAACACCAGUGGCGAAGGCGACUUUCUGGUCUGUAACUGACGCUGAGGCGCGAAAGCGUGGGGAGCAAACAGGG